AUUUACUACAGGAUAAACGCUAUAAAUUGAAGACACUGAGGUUUUUUAGUCCUGCUGCAGAUGAAGCCUGUCAGUGUGUGCCUGGAAUUGUGGGUAAAAACCCGUUACUCCUGAGAGAACUGAAUCUGAGUGAACAGAAGCUAGGAGACACACGAGUGAAUCAGAUCUCUGCUCUACUGCAGGAUAAACACUGUAAACUCAACACACUGAUUCUGUGUGGAUGCAGUAUUACAGAGAAACAGUGUCUCAUCCUGACUUCAGCUCUGAAAUCAAACAUUUCACACCUGAGAGAACUGGACCUGAGUGAAAAUAAAAUAGAAAACACAGGAGUGAAGCAUGUCUCUGAAACACUGAAGAAUUCAGACUGUAAACUGGAGAGAUUGAGGUUAAUAAGCUGUAAUAUAACAGAAGAAGGUUGUUCUGCUCUGAGUUCAGCUCUGAAAUCAAACCCUUCACACCUGAGAGAACUGGACCUCAGUGGAAAUGAACUAGGAGACUCUGGAGUUGGAAACCUUGGUGUUCUGUUGAGCAGUUCUCAAUGCAAGCUGGAAAAACUACAGUUAGUAUCAUUAUUACUCUGUGCAGCAAUUACAGUGUGAUUUAAAUGUACUAUUUAUCAAGACAACAGGGCACAAGCUACUAAAUGUAUAGCACUGAAUUUUCUGCAUUUCCCCUUUUAAAGAAAGAUUCAAAAGUACUAUGAGCUAAUGGACUGAUGGUUUAUUAUUUCUGUCAGAGGAAAGAUUUAUGUGCUGAAAUCUGACAAAACUGUGCUGCAAAAUAUGACCGAAGUGAGCGGACAAACACUUGCAUGACAAAAGAUUAUUCUGAUAGGACUGGGUAUUGAUUCAGAUGUCCCGAUUCGAUUACGAUUCAAAAGAUAUCGAUUGAAUUCUCAUUUUUUUUAAAUACUUUUUUUUAGUAUGAUCAGUGAAUAUACUUUUUAUACAAAUGCUAUCGAAAUGAAAAUCAGUUUAAAAAUGUAACAUUUAUAAAAAGAAAUUA